CCAAUAGCGUAUAUUAAAGUUGUUGCAGUUAAAAAGCUCGUAGUUGAAUUUCGGGGUUAGUAGGUUGGCCAUGCCUCUGGUAUGUACUGGUCUCACUGAUUCCUCCUUCCUGAUGAGCCGUAAUGCCAUUAAUUUGGUGUUGCGGGGAAUUUGGACUGUUACUUUGAAAAAAUUAGAGUGUUUAAAGCAAGCUAACGCUUGAAUACAUUAGCAUGGAAUAAUGAAAUAGGACGUUCGAUCCUAUUUUGUUGGUUUCUAGGAUUGACGUAAUGAUUAAUAGGGAUAGUUGGGGGCAUUAGUAUUCAAUUGGCAGAGGUGAAAUUCUUGGAUUUAUUGAAGACUAACUACUGCGAAAGCAUUUGCCAAGGAUGUUUUCAUUAAUCAAGAACGAAAGUUAGGGGAUCGAAGACGAUCAGAUACCGUCGUAGUCUUAACCAUAAACUAUGCCGACUAGGGAUCGGAUGAUGUUAAUUUUUUAAUGACUCAUUCGGCGCCUUACG
rnacentral:rRNA from 1 species